UAGUAAAUAAAAGUAAAAAGGAAAGAGGGAAACGAAAAGGAUCUUCUUCUUCUUCGUGAAAGCUCUACCCCCUUCUGGAAAUUUCUCUUCUGCACCUCACUCCUUCUCUCUUGCAUUGGCACCACCACCUUAGUUCGCAGUUGAUCAUUGACGCCAACACUGUCUUCACGUCGUCGUCACCCAUCUCGUGUUGCAUCUUCUGUUCGGGUCCAAGAUAAGAGUCAUUCCAAUCGCACAUAGAAAUUUCAUCGCCUUUUCACCAGCCACACGAGCUGCUCCUUCGAUUCCUCCCCUACAACCACCAUGCACGAUAACUUGCUGAAGAUCAAGUUAGCCGCUGUUCGUAUAUGUUUUUCAUUCAAAUCCAUCACUUAGAAUUCAAGUUCUAGAAGAGUUUGAGCCGCUGUUCAGCCAUUCGAAAGUUCAAAAUUAGGCGUUUUGGCCCAACUUGGGCCAAAUUGAAAUGGGAAAAGCGUAUAAUCUCGGGAGAUCAAGUCCAUUGAUAGGGAUUCUAGGACUGAAAAAGGCCAUGAUUGGAGAUCCAGGAACCUGAGCGUAGGUGGGGACAUGUAUGGAGGAUUGUGAUACGGCUUCGGGCCUAGCUUAACCCAUGGUGGAUGGCUCUAUGUGCAUAAAAGAGCGAAUAUGGAGGUUGUUACUGUGGUAGCUGUUUGGCCGCGUGUUUCCUUGUGGAUAUAGAUCACAUGUGAGCUAUUCUGGCCCGUGUAUUUAGUAUGCUAUCAUGGUUGGAUUGGAUAGAGGUUGCCAUCGUGGCGGGUGCUAAAUAUGCGUGAGCUAAUUUUGGCCGCAUGAUUGGGUACAUGUUUGUUGUCCAUACUUGUUGUUUAUAGUAAUAUGUGAUUUUAAUGUUUUAGUUACUAUUUCGUUAUUGAUGUCAUAUUUAAACAAUUUGAAAGUAUGUUUUAUGGGCUUUUACUUUUAAAAACUUGCCACUCACUCAGUUUUAGCUCACAUUUUCAAUGUUUGCUCCCUCGGGUAUCGGUCAAGGAUCAAGCAUUAGUUGAGCUUUCCCGUCAUUUAUUGUAGAUUCUCAUUCUUUUUGUAUGUAUAUACUUAAGUGUUGUAUUGCAUUAUUGGGUGACUAGAAGAAGCGAGAGUCAUGAUGAGAAUUUGAGUUUUGAGAGGUCUCUUAUUAGAUUGUAUUUCUUUUGUAACUAAUUCAUAGUUUAAUAUAAACUCUGAUUGGAACUCUGGACUA